GACAGUGGUGCCAAGCGUUAGGCGGAAUCACUGGGCUUAAAGCGUGUGUAGGCGGAUCGUUAAGUGCUUUGUGAAAUCCCACGGCUUAACCGUGGAACUGCUUGGCAUACUGGCGAUCUUGAGCGACCUAGGGGCGAGCGGAACAAAUGGUGGAGCGGUGAAAUGCGUAGAUAUCAUUUGGAACGCCAAAGGUGAAAACAGCUCGCUGGGGG
rnacentral:rRNA from 1 species